ACGGCCCUACGGGUUGUAAACUGCUUUUAUACCGGAAUAAACCUGCCUACGUGUAGACAGCUGAAUGUACGGUAAGAAUAAGGAUCGGCUAACUCCGUGC
rnacentral:rRNA from 1 species